CAGCCUUUACGCUGGGAUGUAUCAUGUGAGGUGUUUUGAACCUAAAAGAAACCCCAAAGAGAACCUCCUCUUGGAAUCUGAACAGGAUCUCACCUGGACUCCUAUCAUUUUAUCCGUGAGACAGAUCUUAUCCCAGAAAUACUUUUACCUUUUUCUGAUCAUGAAUUUCUUUCGAGUCUUUAACCUUCUUCAGCAACUUCAUGAUGAUCUUUGCAGAUAUUCUCAUUCUCAGAGAUGUACUAUCUUCUUCCAUAAGGAGCAUUAUGUAGGGGGCAGGCUUUAUUUGCCCACAGUGCCUUGUACUUAUCAGUCAGUCCUGGCUGAAAAAGUUUGGUUACUAUAAGAUCAUCUUAAUUUCUUUCUAUCUACAAGGAACAGCCUCCACUGUCAUGUUACUCCUGGGAAAGCAAUACUAUUACUGUUUGGCUCUUUAUCUCACUAUUAUCAUGGUUAUUGUGCAAGCUUCGGUUUCCUUGUUUACCCUG